UGGGUUGUGGCACAGUGGUAGAGCGCUUGCCUAGCAUGCAGGAGGCACUGGGUUCAAUUCUCAGCACCACAU
rfam:Ictidomys tridecemlineatus contig088319, whole genome shotgun sequence.